UUGCGAGUAGCUAUGUUCAUUUAUAACCCUGGACGUUAGCACCUAAGCAGUUUAUUCCGAUCAGAUCCCAAUUGUUUGAACGAUGGUAUCUUGUUACAGCUUACAACCCAUUCUCAGCAUACAAUCUUAUCUUAUAUGCUUAUUGAGCUACUAAGUUGAGGACUAUGGUACUGUCAUCAAAGGCAUGCUAAUAUAUCAUUCGCCCAUAUGCUUUAUCUUAACUAUUUUGAUUCAUUUCUUAUUUACUUGUUUUAUCACUGCCUUGAUUCAUAGUUAUUUAGUUUUCAAUAUUACUUAUCCCUACAAACAUACUAAGUAGGUUUGGGUUUGAGUAAUCUUGAGUAUGCUUGCUCUACAUUAUUCAAACACAAAUAUUUUAGCAAUGCUAUUUCUUUUC
rnacentral:lncRNA from 1 species